CAGCAGCCGCCGCGGUAAUACAGAGGGUGCAAGCGUUAAUCGGAAUUACUGGGCGUAAAGCGCGCGUAGGUGGUUUGUUAAGUUGGAUGUGAAAGCCCCGGGCUCAACCUGGGAACUGCAUCCAAAACUGGCAAGCUAGAGUACGGUAGAGGGUGGUGGAAUUUCCUGUGUAGCGGUGAAAUGCGUAGAUAUAGGAAGGAACACCAGUGGCGAAGGCGACCACCUGGACUGAUACUGACACUGAGGUGCGAAAGCGUGGGGAGCAAACAGGAUUAGAUACCCCAGUAGUCCCUGUCUCUUAUAC
rnacentral:rRNA from 1 species